CCCCCCCCCCCGGCCCCCCGCGCGAAACCUUCUAUUUCUCAAGAUCCUCUCUUUCCCUCACCCCAUUUCUCCAUCUUCUCUUUCUCUGUCUCUGGCCUUUUCCCUCUCUGUCUCUCUUCCUUAUACUUUCACCAUCACCUUACCGACGACCGCAAGCCCCGAUGAAGAGGACGACCACUGCUGUGUGUGGGUUUUUUAUUUCUCUCUUUGUUGGAUGUAAAUGUGGUUGUUGGAUGUGUUCCUCAGAAUCGGUUUUUUUUUGGUAAGGUUUGUGAAUCGGUUGGAUGCAAAAUUUUUUUUUUUCUUUCUUGUGACUGCUAGAGUUUUUUGUGAAGAAUUCAUUUCUUUUCUCUCGGUGGGAUCUAAAUCUUAAGGGCAGCUUCAGAAAUUCAUUCCAUCUUGUUGUUCUUCGAUUCAAAAUUCUUACGAUUUUGUAAAAAUCCACGGAAAGUUGGGAUUUUUUAUUUCUUCAUUUACUUCCGUAUCUUUUGGGGUUAUAUAGAAGAUUUGGAAGUAGGGUGUAAAUUGAUUAGAGGAUUCAUCUGUUAAUCUAGAUCUAAGUUGAAGAAGGCCAUUCAAAUCUCUUCUGUUCUCUCUAUGUUGACUCUGUUUGGCAUUUUUUUUUUCCUGUCAUGCAUAUUUGUGUCAUGUAUUUGAUCAUAAUCUGGAAAUCAAGACAUCUUCAACUGAGAGCAAAAAAUAAAAAUAGAAAGCAUACCGACUUAUAGAAGACAAUUAAUAUAUUUUGUUUUCUUCUUCUGUUGGUUUUGAUUUUCUGUUUUUUGAGUUGCAUGUCUACAUAUAUGUUUGGGUAUAUAUGUUUAAACGCCCAGACAUCUAUUUUUGCCAUUUCGUCUGUGUAUUGAGGCACUCUGUUUGGGUGUAUAUUUUUGCCAUGCAUAUGCGCAUCUUCUAUUUUAUUUGAUCAUAGUGUAGAAAUUCAAACGCCGAGAAACCAGAAAACUUCACAUAAGUUGUUUGAGGGAAAUCAUUUCUUCUGUGUUUGGGUUUUUUUUUUUUUUUUUUUUUUACCCGUCAUGUAUAUCCGUAUGGUUUUGUUUGAUUCUGACGUGGUUUUUCAUGCAUGCGGACGGUGUAGAGUUCUUGCCGAUGGCUUUCUUCUUCACAUCUUUAUUUUUUGGUUUUGCUUUUUUCAUUUUUCAAGUUUUUUGGUUGUCAUUUGAGAAGCUGAGGAAGUUUUUUGUUAUUGUUUCUCAAACCCUCUGAAAAGCAACUUUCUUAUGAACCGAUAUAUUUAACAAUCCACACCAUUCUUACAGAUCUGUGUUUCUGUGUAAUCUUAUAGUCGGAUUUAAGUGUGAAGAUGAUGAUUGGAUUUAGGUGUAAGAUUUACGUUUUUCUUAAAUUUUCAUGGACUGUUUAUUUUUUACAUCUAACCAUUGUGUCCAAAGAAAGUAUUCAGUAAACAGUAACUUAUUAAAACUUGCAAGAAGAAGCAGAGAGAUACGUACCUAGCUGAUGCCAAAAUUCAGUAGCAAAGAAGCCAAUUUCCACAGCUUCAAAGAUCUACAAGUCUGAAGAUUUGAAAACGCACAGCAAACCAUAAGCUUGCGGCUUAAGCUAGAGAUAUUCUCAAAUGAUUUUAAAUUAAAAAGAAGAAGAAGAAGAAGAAGAAGAAGAAGAAGAAGAAGCGAAAACCAUACCCAAGAAAUGCUGAGAUCCUGAAGGUCGAAGACUAACUUGAAAACCACCGAAAAUUUUGUGUGUAAAAGCGAGGAAGAAAGGAAGACAACAAGAAGUGGCAGUAGAAAUUGUGAGAGCAGAAGAUAAAACGUUUACACCAAGUGGCAAAUUAAAUCCUAGUAUAAACACGUGCAUAUUCUUUUGCAAUCGUGUCAUCAAAUCUUAUUCUGCAAAGCUGUUGAAAUUUAAAAAUUUUACACGUCUGCUUCGUUGUUGUACC